AUUAACGAUAAUGGGGUUAAACAGAGAGAAGAAGACUUUACUUUUCGCUGACACGAUUGAAGUAGUUAUUACAGAAGCACGACGGAAGCUUCAACUGCCCGAAAAACAGUAUAGAAUUGUUUUAGAAGCAAAUGGGGCACUUGUAGACGAGGAUCACUUUAUUCCUCAUCUUCCUGUUUAGACAGAACUAAUGAUUCUCAGCAGUGAUGAAGAGUGUGUUUCAAAAGAAGACAUGCGUGCAAGGCGAGGGGAGUUCGUUUCAAUUUUGGAAAAUGAAUAUCAGCAGCCUGAAAGGGUUUCAAGUAGCAACAACUCAUCUCAGAGAAGUGAAGCUGUACCUCCAACCUCUAUAUUAGUUUCCGGAAGGAGAGCUCCGAUCUAUUUUCCUUAGGAAAAAUUGCCUGAUACAAUGACUGGGACGUUGGAGAUGAAUGAAAAACUGUCAGAUGUUCAGAAGAAGGACUUGCAACAAAUUCCUGGUCUGCACAUGGUUGGAACUUUGAAAGAGUACAAGAGAACUACGGUGUGUGCUCUUGUGAAGAACUUGUUAGCUCAAUAUUCGGAGGCACUGAUGAUAACUGAUGCUGAUGCAGAUCCACUGAGUGACGGGUCUCAGGCCUUUAUAACCAGACUGAACGAUUAUGUUAGCUACAAGAAACCAGCCAAUGAGAAAACCCCAAAGAAGAGGAGGUAGUCUUUGGAUGAAAGCCCCGACGAGGUAUCUUCUUCUAGAAUUGUAGACCACGAUGAAUAUGGCUGUGUGGCGUACCAAGUACCUCUUCCGGAAGGCGAAACCAAAGAGUCUCAACAGAUUAAACGUAAAGAGAUGAUUGAAAUGAAGGAUAGUGAGGACGAUUCCAAAAUUCGAAACUUAAUAGACGAGACAUACGCAACGCAAAGAACAGAUAUGAUUAACAGGAAGGGAUCCACAGACAGUCAGCAGUUCCUUGCUCAUGCAUCUGUGCUUUUUGGGAGAGACGUCAAAGAAAUUUGGGAUGACAAAAUAUCAUCUAAAGGUCCGGCCUUGUUCUCUGUCUUCGAUAAUGAACAGCAAAGGCAUAAUCCAGUACGUGAGCAAAAGAAAGCAGUGAGAACAAAGAUGAGGGAGGUUUUCCAGCGAGCAAAAAUUGGUUCGGAAAACCUACGAUGAAACAUUCCUCAACUGUUAGCCCUGUUCGAACUGCUACCUCUGUAUUUUCUCGAGGAAUCGAAUACCCUGUUUUCGCUUCUUCCUGAUACAGCCUCAGACGAUGAAGCUAUGCUCAGUGCAGAAAACAGAUCGACCCAUGCUUAUUGUGAAAGGGAAUUCUCUAUAUGAUGAAGCGGCCACUAGCAUAGUUUUUGCUGAGGGACAGGAAAUCAUCAGGCCCAGGAACGUACGUGUAGCCAUAUACAAUGGCUACACGUACGGAGUAAAUUUCAAGUCAUUGGAAUUCAUCCAAUACGUCUUCCAAAAAAUUAAUGCUUCUUUAGGACACAAGAGAGCGAAAAAUGAGAAAAGGCACGUUCACACAGUGAAUGCGCAGGUCCAGAAAUGAAUGAACAAGAUGGAGGAGAAGGAAGGAAAUUAGAAUUCCGAAUUACUGCUGCCCAACGCACAACAUUUCUCUGGAGCUGGAAUUUGGCAUGCACAGACAAAAAAAUCUUGAGGCGAACGAGUGAAUCAAGAAUAUAUUAGGCUCAAAGAAAGUGUCCGUUUUGAUUAGGUAAAACGUUUAGUUAGAAGAGAUAAACAUUUAGUUACUUUAUGUAAAUUGUUCUCGUUAAUCAGUAAAUUAGACAAAGUUGCUGAGUUCGAGAGUUUAUUAUUUUCGAAAGAUUAUGUAUAAUUUUAUUAUCUUUAGAAUAGAAAAAAUUUCAUUGUUAUAGUGAUAUAUUAACUUACAGUAGGCAAUUUUUCGCCUGGUAUUGCGAAAAUUAAUUUCCCUGAAAUCCGUAUAAUGCAUUUGGAGGUCAAGUUUGUUGUUUUUAUCGCGUUUCUUGUUA